rnacentral:rRNA from 1 species
GUGGGGAAUUUUGGACAAUGGGGGAAACCCUGAUCCAGCAAUGCCGCGUGUGUGAAGAAGGCCUUCGGGUUGUAAAGCACUUUUGUCAGGGAAGAAAAGGAUUCUACUAAUACUGGAGUCUGAUGACGGUACCUGAAGAAUAAGCACCGGCUAACUACGUGCCAGCAGCCGCGGUAAUACGUAGGGUGCAAGCGUUAAUCGGAAUUACUGGGCGUAAAGCGUGCGCAGGCGGUUUGUUAAGACGGAUGUGAAAUCCCCGGGCUCAACCUGGGAACUGCAUUCGUGACUGGCAGGCUAGAGUAUGGCAGAGGGGGGUGGAAUUCCACGUGUAGCAGUGAAAUGCGUAGAGAUGUGGAGGAACACCGAUGGCGAAGGCAGCCCCCUGGGCCAAUACUGACGCUCAUGCACGAAAGCGUGGGGAGCAAACAGGAUUAGAUACCCCGGUAGUCC